rnacentral:other from 1 species
CGCUCCCUGCAGUAUUUGCCAGACAGCUUAGACCCCUGAGCCGAUGCGCAUUACCCCGGAGGCUCUUCGUGUUAUUGGCGUGCAUAUCCGUAUUGCGGGAAGCCCGAUAUUUCACUGGAGCCACCACCCUGAACCGUUGGGUUCAAGGGCCAUGAUGUCAGCGGUAUUCUGGGGAGCAC